rnacentral:rRNA from 1 species
GACGAACGCUGGCGGCGUGCUUAACACAUGCAAGUCGAGCGGUAAGGCCCUUUCGGGGGUACACGAGCGGCGAACGGGUGAGUAACACGUGGGUGACCUGCCCUCAGCUCUGGGAUAAGCCUGGGAAACCGGGUCUAAUACCGGAUAUGACUCCAUGACGCAUGUUGUGGGGUGGAAAGCCUUGUGCGGCUGAGGAUGGGCCCGCGGCCUAUCAGCUUGUUGGUGGGGUGAUGGCCUACCAAGGCGACGACGGGUAGCCGGCCUGAGAGGGCGACCGGCCACACUGGGACUGAGACACGGCCCAGACUCCUACGGGAGGCAGCAGUGGGGAAUCUUGCGCAAUGGGCAAAGCCUGACGCAGCGACGCCGCGUGAGGGAUGACGGCCUGGUGU